rnacentral:lncRNA from 1 species
UUGAGGCGAAAGCAAGAGUUGGAAGCCGAACGUAGACAGUCGAUGACAUAGUCUAUCCGAGGUAGUGGAUAUACAUCUUUUUUGGUGAGGGCGUUUAAUCGUCCAUUAUCAACGCAAAACCUCCAAG